rnacentral:rRNA from 1 species
CAAGUCGAACGAGGUGGCCCACAGAAUUUGAUAGAAACUUUGAGAGCUUGCUCUAGAAGUGGAAAGAGAAGGACGUGGAAUUUCCACCUAGUGGCAAACGGGUGAGUAACACGUGGGUUACCUACCUCUUAGAUGGGGAUACCAAUUGGAAACGAUUGUUAAUACCGAAUGUGAUCUACGGAUUAAAGGAAGCCUUUAAAGCUUCGCUAAGAGAUGGGCCUGCGGUGCAUUAGAUAGUUGGUGGGGUAAGAGCCUACCAAGUCAACGAUGCAUAGCUGAACUGAGAGGAUGAUCGGCCACACUGGGACUGAGACACGGCCCAGACUCCUACGGGAGACAGCAGUUAGGAAUAUUCGUCAAUGGGGGAAACCCUGAACGAGCAAUGCCGCGUGAACGAUGACGGUCCUCUGGAUUGUAAAGUUCUGUUGUUUGGGAAGAACGGCUCUAAUAGGAAAUGAUUAGAGAUUGACUGUACCAUUCAAGAAAGCCACGGCUAACUACGUGCCAGCAGCCGCGGUAAUACGUAGGUGGCGAGCGUUAUCCGGAUUUAUUGGGCGUAAAGCGUCCGCAGCCGGUUUAUUAAGUAUAGAAUAAAACUUCGGGGCUCAACCCCGUCUCGUUCUAUAAACUGAUAGACUAGAGUGUGGUAGAGGCAAGUGGAAUUUCUAGUGUAGCGGUAGAAUGCGUAGAUAUUAGAAGGAACACCAGUGGCGAAGGCGACUUGCUGGGCCAUCACUGACGGUCAGGGACGAAAGCGUGGGGAGCGAAUAGGAUUAGAUACCCUAGUAGUCCACGCCGUAAACGAUGAGCACUAAGUGUCGGGCAACCGGUGCUGAAGUUAACACAUUAAGUGCUC